CCCCCCCUGUUUCUACUGCAUCAAGGCUCAGAGAGCCAUUGCAUAUAAAUAGAUAACCUUGCAGCUGAACUGGUAUGGUUAUGCUGGGAGAAAAAUCAAAAGGCUGAUCACCAUUCCUGGGCCAAACAAUCUGUCACAUUUGGCAUGAAGACUAUCCAGAGAAAAUGAAGCCUGAACACUUGCUUUGCCUGUUGCUGAGCUGCUUUCCGCUACCCGAAGCUGCCUGUAAACCCUUGAAACCAGACUGCACUCUUGUCAAAUGUAGCCCAUGCCCUGACCAACACACAGCGGUGACUUCGGCGAAUACCUGCUGUGCUCCAUGUGCCCCUGCAUGUUCCUGUCCAGAUUACCAGCAAUUUGAAUGCGCCAUGCAAGGCUAUAAGGAUGGAAACGUCCCUGUGGGGAAAUCUUUCCACAUAGACUUUGCCACCCAACUCUGCACCUGUGUUUCUACAGGGAAUAUCUCCUGCACUUCAGUUUGUCCCACGGUUUCACCUACGUGCAAGGAGACCGGAAGCCCUCCUGAUGGCUGUCCCCAGUGUGUAUGUCCCAUUGACAAUGACAGAAUCGUAAUUGCUGGCAGCACCAUCCCCAGGGUCAGUGAGAUUUGUGUAUGUCCCCCUGAAGGAGGCAAACUACUUUGCACCCCAACCACACCUCAGCCCACUACAGUCUAACAAUGAAUAGGCUCUGUUCUCCAAGUAAGCUAAGUAUUGCAGGAGGGCCAAGCUUUUUGUUAUUAGACUAUAAGAGAACUUCUAAAAUAACUUUGGGCACCCUUAUGGAAAAUCCUAUAGAACGUACAAGAAAAUUAUUAUUAUUUUUUGCUAUUGGUGUUUGAAACUGUCCUAUAAAAUGGAAUAGUGACUUAUAGUCUUGCUGUGGAAUUACAUAGGGCUAAAAAAGAAAACAAAACUAUACAAAGGCAUGCCAUUCUCUAUUAAAUCUUGAAACCAGCUCCAAACAUUUAUAGUAAGGUUAUUAUUUUCUGUUAUGACCUAUAGGCAUUCUCCGUGAUGGUGUCCAGGAAAGUUUGAGUGACUGCUGAUAGAUCAUAAAUGUGUAAAAAAAAAGCAACUAUUUAUAUAUUUAUAAGAUGACUCUGUGUGUGUGUGUGUGUGUGUGUGUGUGUGUAUGGACGGACAGACGGACGGAUUGCAAUGCUUUUCAUUAAGACACAUUCCAAGCCUGUUUUCAGUUGCUUAACUUUGCCAAACUUUAAGCAUUUGGGUUAAAAUUUUCUAGACCAGCUGUCAGCCUCAGGCCUCAUAUAAUUUUUAAUCUUCAGCAUAAAUGUUUCAGCCCAGUCUCAGAAUGAGACGAGGGGCAAACGGUGUAUUUUCCCAUGUUAAAAAUCGUCUUAUAAUGGUCUGAGAAGCUUGUACACCUCCAUACUUUGGAACAUGGGGUUGCCAUUUGGCAGAGGGAUCACCCUGAUGUAAGAGCUGCGCCUUUUGCCUUCUUCCAUGAAAAUCUGCCCCAAUCUGGCCAAGUUAUGAGCCUCUGACAAUCUCAGUUUGCAGAUGAUAGUUAGAUUCUUUGAAGAUUUCGGUCUGUGCUGAGCACGCUUCAGCAUGGUCUGCAGGUGCUCUCUGAAAUUGCUGUUCCAAGGCUGUGGUUCCAGGGACCAGGACUGAGACCAGGGACAGUUUCCGAUGAAGUGAGCUGUAGCUCUCGAAAGCUUAUGCUCAAAUAAAUUGGUUAGUCUCUAAGGUGCCACAAGUCCUCCUUUCCUUGUACCAUAGGGAAGCUGAACUAAGGGUCCAUGGGUACCCUUCGUUCUGUCAUUUCCCAGUGUUUGAUGGUGCCACCUUAUCAUUCUUUGUGUUUUCUAUAUAAAUUUCCCUUCGUUUGCCCUGUGCCCAUGUACAGAAAUAAAGUAUCAGUUUCCAUCCAUUACUGUAUACCUCCUGGCAACACAAAUGACUGUUGGGUCUGCUGCAGCAAGCUUACUACAAGAAAUGUCUCUCCAAAUACGAGCACAGUUAUCCUACGUCCACCUCUGCCCUGCUUCCAACUACAAGAAAAAGGUCACAGCAUAAUUUUAUUUUAUAUAUAUAAACAUGACCGUACGCCACCUUCAGCAGGGAAUGAGCUGCAGGGAAAUUUGUAAUUGUUUCUUCUUUGAGUCCCAAUAAAAGCAAUUUUAAUGUUCA